rnacentral:rRNA from 1 species
GAUGAACGCUAGCGGCAGGCUUAAUACAUGCAAGUCGUGGGGCAGCAGGGUUGUAGCAAUACAAUCGCUGGCGACCGGCAAACGGGUGCGUAACACGUACGCAACCUUCCCGUUACUGUGGCAUAGCCCAGGGAAACUUGGAUUAAUACCACAUAUUAUAUAGAGGGGGCAUCUCCUUUAUAUCAAAGCUUCGGCGGUAACGGAUGGGCGUGCGGUUGAUUAGGUAGUUGGCGGGGUAACGGCCCACCAAGCCUACGAUCAAUAGCUGAUGUGAGAGCAUGAUCAGCCACACGGGCACUGAGACCCGGGCCCGACUCCUACGGGAGGCAGCAGUAAGGAAUAUUGGGCAAUGGACGAAAGUCUGACCCAGCCAUGCCGCGUGAAGGAUUAAGGUCCUCUGGAUUGUAAACUUCUUUUCUCUGGGGCGAAAAACAGCUAUUCUUAGUUGCUUGACAGUACCAGAGGAAUAAGCACCGGCUAACUCCGUGCCAGCCGCCGCAGUAACAC